GGAGUUUAAACAGCAAGUGCCUGGUGAUCCUGUGCCGGGCACUUGAAGAAGACUCUCCUAGAACAGACUCCCAGCUGGCUGUUCGCUUUACACUGGCCGAGGGACUCCCCAUGGGUCUGGUUGGUGAAAAACAGUCCAGCACAACU
rnacentral:snoRNA from 1 species